UUCUACAAGUCCGACGAUUGGUGCACUAAUGGAAAGAGUAGAUAUUGACAUUGCUGGCCCAUUGCCCCAAACUCAUGCUGGAAACAAGUACAUUUGUGUGGUGAUGGAUUAUUUCACCAGGUGGCCUGAGGCAUAUGCAAUACCAAAU